UUUACAUGUUUCUAUUCAUCUUUUGUAUUUGCUUUCUUUUUAUGGCUAUCCAGCCGUAAACACAAACAGAGUAUUCCUAAAGCUGAAGAUAGGGCAGAAUUAUGUUCACAGGAGUUGAUGGCGUGGCACAGGCCUUGGAGAGUGAGGCGGAAGCACAGAGGCCCUCUGCCGAUGAGGGGCAGGAAGGAGCUGCCCCAGAUCUGAUGUGAGACCUGAGCUCAAGAGCACUGGACUCUGGGGGGCAACUAUUCUAAGGUGUCUCCACCCCACCAGGGAUCAGUGACAGUGGAAAGACGUCUACAACCUGAACAAGAAGCAGGGACCUCAGAACACCAUCUGGUACUAUUGGAGUGCAAGGCAGAGGCCGGGAGUAACAGUUGAGGUGGGCCUAACUAUGGAGCGGGGUGGUGGGGGGCUUUGAUGAGCUUUGCUGGAGUUCUCUGGUUGCUGUCCUUGGUCCUGCAGUACCUGAUACCUGCUGGCUUCUGCUGAAAUGCUGAUUGAGAUCAAUCCAUAGGGCCAUCCUGAACCCAAGGCAAAGGCUUUCCAUAUGAAAAUCCCAUGCAGCCAUUUAUUCAUUCAUUGUCAUGGGUACUGUGGUUCUGCCUUCGGCACAGAAUGAUAGUAUCUUGGUUAUGCUGGUAUCAUUUUUAGAAUUUUGCACACUGAAACUACCGGAAGUGUUUGUGAGCAAACACUGCACAUCCCAUGUUGAGGCAAUGGAUGCCCCUCUGCAGAAAGUCCAGUCUUUUCCAUGAAGUGCCCUGCAAUAAUGCUGGUGUAAAGUAUGCUAUUUGGAAAUUGUGGAACAGAACCAUCCCUGCAGUAUUCAUGGAUCAGUCUGAUGCGUGAAUGAGCCUGACACAGUGGGAGACUUUCCAGCAGACUUCCUGAUGGCUUCCAGUUCCUUUAGCUAUUUUAAGACAAUAGCUAAAUUUGACUGGCUGAUGAGCCUUUCAGCAGACCACAGUUUAGAGUUAUUCUAAAUCUUAAACACAAAGCAGUUUGUGGGUGGAUGUGCAUGGAACCAAUCUUAUUCUUUAUAUAUCUUGUAUUCGUCUAUCUUAAUACUUAUCAGGUGGCUUUGCGCAGAAGACUCUGGUGAAGACAACACAUACUAAAAUCAGAUGUGUCGAUUGAAAAUGCAAUGAAAUAGUUCAGUACAACUCAGCCUAAGAAUUCCUGUCAGUCAAACACCAAGAUCAAAACUUAGGCUGUAGCUAACUGCCAGUUUUAAAAGGAACGUUCUCCUGUGUCAUGAAAGUGUAGGAGGAGGAGAAUGUGGGGAGGAAUAGGGCUAUUACACUGUUGUGCUUGCCAGCAGCCGGUCCUUAAGGCUUGUGGGAUCAGUUUCUGUUCUAACCCAGUAUGCCAAAGGGUGAUCCAAUAGACCCAAAUGCUCCUUCCCCUCUAGAGGCAAGGCUUUAAAAGGGCUUGUUGCAAUUGCUGCCCUCUUGGUGCCACCCGAAGCAGGUCAUGUCAUCUUGCUCCAUACCAGAGUGUGGGUUCAAUUUAAAAGUGAAUUAGUGUAACAAAAGGAACUAGGCGGGUUCCCAGAAAUGUAGACCUUCCUGAGUCUGCCCAGCUCGUACAAGAUUCAUGGGCAUGACCAGCAUUUGGGAUGCUGGGGUUGGUGCCAUACCUCAAAGCUGUUCUUGUGCAACAGUAGCAAAAAGCAGUGACUAGGAUCAGACCAGGGAAUAUAAUUUAUUUUAGACCAAGGGCCAACUUCCAUUUCAGAGAAGUGUUGAUGCAAUGGAUAGAGCCGAAGGCAAAAGGGACAGGGUCAGAAUAGCUGCCUGUUUCAACGUAAAGCUCUUACUGCCAGUAAUUCAUCCUUAGGAGAAGUGUUUCAUUUUUGGGUGGGUUAAAGCUGCACAGAAAACGGAAACAAGUGGAUGGUUAAGUGGUUGGGGAAAGGGGUGGGGCCAGAGGAAGGAGCAUGGCCCUUGAGGGCCCCCAGAGAGCCUGAUUUGGCCUGAGGUUCUGCACCCCUGGUCAGCUUUGCCCAUGGAUGCAAACACACACCUGCACUACAUCUUCCUGUUGGUGUCAAGAAGCAUUCUGAGGAUUCCACUCAACUGAGUCUACCAAGCACCAUUCUCUGGUUAAGAAAUUGCUUCUGGCCUGAUACAUUCAUGGUAGUUUCAACAUCAGUGCCAGCCUUAGUGAGAUAUGAACUAAAGGGGGAAAUUUUGCAUGCAAAUUUCAGCUUGAGCACACGCGGUUACUUUCUAUAAUGUCCCUGCCUGGCAUUUGUGGCCACAAACAGCUCAUUUUAAAAGAACAGUUUGUUAUGCACAUUCCUGCAGGCAUCCAAGAAGCGAAUGACAUAGAAGUAAGUGCCCGACACAAGAACCAGACUCUUGAGAGAGGAUGUGAAUCACUUAUCACAAGCUGAAGAAAUAGCUUGGCCCUUUCAAAUGGCAUCUCAAGGUUGGAAAAACGUUCUGUAUGGUUGCCUGAGGUGUCAUUCUCCAUUCUGCUGGUAAAUACAGUUCCCUUCGAAAGUAUCAUGUUCCAGGAAUUGCACUUCUGCAGCGGCUGGGCACACACAAACUUGUUGCUGUUCCUUAUUUUAAUAUAGACUGAAAGCAUCCAUUUCCUAGCCACAUGGGAAGAGCUGGCUGCUCAUGUCGAACAUGAAAAAUAAUAAUUAACAGGUGCUUUAAAGGCAUUUAUUUAUUUAUUGCAGAUACAUCUGUGUGUGGUUACUGAGACAGGCCGUUACAACAUUCACACACAGGGGCCCUUUCUCUGGCAUUGAUGGCUAUUGGUGUAGCACGAGCAUUAGGAAAUCUCCCUCUCUAAAUUUUAGAAUUGGUUCCAGUAUCAACGCAGCCGCUACAGACCAUAUAGUGCAUUCAAGAGUUCUGCACCCAUUGGCUUGGAUCAUCAGUUGUUCUUUGGUUCUGGUAAGGGAGGGGGUAAUUUCAGCCAAUGCCUCUCCUUGUUUGCAACCCCUUCUACCGUAUUCCUCACCAUUCCCAGGAACAGAUUGGGAGUAGGAACGCAGGCAAAUGCAUAAGCUGCAGUCUAGGCAGCCAUGAAACCACAGAAAAGAGAACCCCGUCUUACCAAACAGCAUAUGAACCAGGACAGCUUUGUUAUGACUACCUGACCAUUGAAGAAAUUUGGCAACCAGAGAACAGCAAAUAGUAUUUGUACCUCUGUCUUCGAAGAGCAUUGUUCCUACUUUGAAAUGGAUUCCUAAGUACAGGAUACAAAUAAUGUAGCAUCAUAAAGGAUUCAUUCAACCCAUUUUACUCUUACCUUUCUACCACAUGUGUCCAUAAGUGAAUGUCUUGCAGGUAUAAUUAUAGCUUCUUCAAAAUAUAAAUGUACUUGAAAAUUAUCUGCAACCAGUCACACUUUGAGUGCUGUGGGUUAAUUGCCUGUUAAACUUAGGUUGGAAUUCUGUACAUACUUACUUGAGAGUAAGUCAUAAGCAGGUCUUACGAAUGAGGAUUGCAGUGUCAACUACAGCUUGAUCCUAAGAUGUGUGAACACACACACACACACGUAGUGUUCAGUUUGGAGUAUUUUGAUCCUGUUGACCCAUGUGACAGCAUGAGCCAUAAUUUUAAACCGCAAGGGUGUUAUACUGGCCUUGAGAGCAGAUUAAUCAGAUUGGAGCAUUAUGUUGUGGUCAGUUACUUUGUAUUAAAGCAGUUCCAGUAGAAAUUUUCCAAAUUAAAGAUUCCUCAAAUCACA